AUUAAUUUCUCACCAAUUUUUUUCAAGCAUUUUAAUUUUUCCAAACCCUAAACAAUAAUUUAAUUUCCCACGAGUAAGUAAGAACCCUUUCACUCACGCCGUUGAACACCCAGCCCUUCGUCAUCACCACCGUGAACCUUCAUCAUUGAGAACCCUGGCACCCAGCCCUCUGUCGCACCCUCUCUCACAACCCUCAUCGCACCCUCUCUCAACCCUCUAUUGCAACCCUUCUCCUCAUAUCUGCACUUUAUCGCAAGCCUCCUCUUCGGAUUCGCACUCUAUCACAAGCCUCCUCCUCGAAUUCACACUCUAUCGGCGCUGCCUCCGUUGGUGCACCCUGCAUCGGCGUGCCCUCCCUCGAUGGUUACUCUCUCGCAAAGGUGCUAGCUGAAAACAGCAUCCACGAUCUGUUGAUCCUCGAAGCUUCCGACCGAAUCGACAGAAGAAUCUGGAAGGAAACAUUCAGUGGCGUCUCCGUCGAGCUCGGUGUCGGAUGGAUUGUUGGCAUCGGCGAAAUACUAAAUGGGGGUUUCUUGAGGGUGAGAGUCUUUGGUGCACCGCCUCCUAGAAUGGUCUUGGUGCAGCAAUGUAUCUGUGAUAAAGGUGUAUUGAAAAUUCUAUGCAAUAUGUAGCUCCAUUAAAGAAGUUUUAACCUUCAAGACAUGUAAUAGGUUUAUGUACUACUAUUUGCAUUAAAGUUCUGGGUAGUCUUGUGACAGUUAAUGAUGAUAUAUUGAUUUCAUGCUUAUUCAUGCAAAAUUGUUAGAAAAUUGAUUGAUUUGUAACAUAAUUGAUAACCAUGAUCAUCUUGAGAAAUAAAGAAAUAUGAUUUUGAUGAGAUUAUUACAAGUUGUGCCCUUGGAGCAACUGGCCAUUGGUAGUUCUACCCCUUGCACAGCUUACAUGGUUUUGAAAAUUUAAGCGAGACUAUCAAGGUACCAUAAUUUCUUUUAGGGUUAAGUACUUUUUUCGUUCUUAACAUCUUGGGUUAAAGUCAAAAUCAUCCCCGACCUUUUUUUCUUAUUAAAUUCAUCUUCAACGUUAGUAAACGUUAUAAAAUUAUCAUUUUGUCCAUAAUAAUUUUUGAAAUAACAUAAAGAACCUUUUCCUAUUAUCACUACCCACCCACCCACCCACCCAUUACUCCACCCCUUCCCACCUAAAACAGAAAAACCAAAAUGAAGAAAAAGAACAAAAGAGGGAGAAGAAAUAAAAGGAAAGGAAGAAGAGGGAGGUGAUGGCAGGGAAGAAGGCGGCCGCCGCCAUCGCGUUGUGGCUAUAGGACUUGUUGCGAUGGGCUUGUCAUUCUUCAUCUCUCUCUCUGCUAGGGCUUGUCACACUGCUGUCGCUGGUGUUUUCCAUCGCCGUCGUCGCUGGGGUUCAACCGCUCCGUCGUUGCUAGGACAACCGUUUACUACUACCAUCAUCUUCUCUAUGCAUCCGUAGGCUUUUCCUUUGCCGUUGCAAGUCUGGGCUUUGGUUCCUCUCCCGUCACGCUAUGCUCUGCUGCGCUGCCAUUGCUAGAGUUUCAAUCGCUCCGUUGUCGCUGGGCAAGAGUUUCGUUGCUCUCCCAUCAUUGUUGUACACCUGCUCUGUCUCUACUAUUGCUGUGCAAGGGUUUCGUUCUUCCUUUUUUAUUUUAUGUUUUUUUAAUUUUUGAAGAACAUAAACAUCAUUUCUUUCUUUUUAAUUUUUUUAAUUUCUGUUGUUGCUGAUUUUGGAUCUAAAAUUGCGGUUGAUGAUUGCUAAAUUGUUGUUUAAUUUGAAAUUUCUGUUAAAUUUAUUUUGUGAAUUUUGCUGUUGCUGAAUUGUUGCAUAAAAUAAAAGCGUUUAGGUGGAAAAAAGGGGUUGGGAGUAGUGGGUGGGUGUAGGGGUGGCAAACAGGCCUAAAUCUGUCGCAUCGGCCCGUGUAACCUACCAAAUAGGCAGGUCAGGCUGGAAAAUUGGGACUGCCAAAGAGCAAAAAAAUCCGCCUAACCCGCACCGCUUAAACCGCAGGCUUUGGCGGGGCGGUGUGGGCUUUCCCGCUGGGCUUAGUCUUUUUGACAAGGGGAUAUUUUUGUAAUUUUUUUGCCAAAAUCCAACUUCCCCCAUCCCAACUUACAAGAGUAUGAAGAUGAAAAUUGAGUAUUCUGGAUUAUGUUUAUGUUGCUUUCGAGACAAUAUUUAUAAUUAUGUUUUGAAUUAUAUUUAUUUUGUUUUGGAGACAAUAUUUAUAAUUAUGUUUUGGAUGAAAACGUGGUUUAUAAUUAUGUUUAUUAGAUAUUUAUAAUUACAAAGACUUUAAUGUUUGUAAAUAUAAAAAUUUAAUUUUUUUAUGCCUUUAGAAAUUAUAAAUUUAUUAAUAUAGUUAUGAAAUUAUAUAUAUUAUUUAGUAGUUAAUAGUAAAAAAAACAGGAGCUUUGGCGGGUUUAGCCCGCCAGCCCGCAAUUAGGCGGGACGAGGUGGGAUUCUAGGACUGCCUCACUAGGCGGGGUGGAUCAACCCGCCAAAAGGCGGUCUUCUGGCGGGGCGGGCCGGGGAGGGGGCGGGCUUCUCCACUUGCCACCCCUAAGUGGGUGGUAGUGAUUUAGGAUGAUGAACUAGUAAUAGAGAGAAAGGUAUGAUGGUUAUGGGGGCCAGUAGUGAUGGUUAUGGUGGUAGUAGUGAUGGUGAUAACGAGAGAGAGAGCCAUGGUGAUAAUGAUGCAAAGGUUAGUGGUGAGGGUGGGGAGAGUUUUUUUAAUUUUGUUUAAGGACAAAAUUUUCCGAAAAAUAUUUUUUAUGGACGAAAGGAUGAUUUUAUAAUGUUUUCUAAUAUUGAGGAUGAUUUUAAUAAUAAAAAAAAAGGUCAGGAACGAUUUUAAUUUUGACCCAAGACGUUAAGGAUGAAAAAAGUUCUUAACCCUUUUUUUAAAUAGUAUAUCAUCUUUUAUGGAAUGUUCAAUGUGAUCAAUAUUCAUGUAUUUUCUUUGUUUUGUGCAAUUAACUUUGAAAUAUAUAAAUGCAUUAAUCCAAAAUUAAAUAUUCCUUUUAUUCACGUGUCUUGCAUUAAUCAAUCAUACGAUAUAUAUAUGGAUAUAUGCUUGAUUUUUUUUAACCUACGUCAAUUUUUCAGGUGGGGACUUCUUUUCUAUCUUUUCUCUAGCCAGCAAGAUUGCCCCAAGUGUUAUUUUUGUCGAUGAGAUUAGUAUCACAUUUAAGUGUAUUCCUUUUCUGUUAUCUUUCUCUGUAAACUUUUCUGGUUUAAUCUUUUUUGCUGUCAAGUCAACAUAAUGUUAGGAAGACAUGAAACUCCUGCCGAACAUGAGACUGUGCAUAAAAAGAAGAAUGAGUUCAUGAUGAAUUGGGAUGGUUUGCGAACAAAAGAUAAAGAGAGUGUACUUGUUCUCGUUGCUACAAAUAGGCCCUUUGAUCUUGAUGAGGUUGUUAUUAAAAGGCUUUCAAGAAGGUAGAAUAUGGUAAUAAAACCAACAGUUGUAUUGAGGGCUAUACUUGUUAGAGGGGUGCAACAUCUGCUAAAAUAGCCGGUGCAAUGAAGGACGCAGGUGGUGUAAAAAUAGGUGCAAUUGUGGCUGCAAUGACAGCAGCAGCACCGCAGCUGUGGCAUGAUCAAAAUAAGAACAAAAGAUGAUCCUCAACAGUCUCCAAAAUAAUGUAUCUUUAUUUGUUUUUGGAUUUCAUUAUGUAGAUUAGUUAAAUCUUCCCUGAGUUUUAUGAGAACAAAGAGAGCCAUUUGCGGAUUGUGAUAUUGACAUAUGGUGAAUAUAAUAACCAUUUCAAAUGUUUUGUUAGAUAUGGAAUCAUGAAGUCUUAGAUGAAGUUGUACACUCAACUGAAUAGCGUUUAGAUGUUGUAAAUUUUACUUUGCAAAGUGAUGACUUUGUAGUGAAUUUGUUUUCUUUUCUUUUUAUUUUUUUCAAUUUUUCUGUGCUAGCUUAUGUUUGUAUUU